rnacentral:rRNA from 1 species
UACGGAGGGUGCGAGCGUUGUCCAGAAUCACUGGGCGUAAAGGGCGCGUAGGCGGCUCAUGAAGGCUGUGGUGAAAGUCCGGGGCUCAACCUCGGAUCGGCCGUGGCGACUCGUGGGCUGGAGCACUGUAGAGGCGGGUGGAAUUCCGGGUGUAGCGGUGGAAUGCGUAGAGAUCCGGAAGAACACCAGUGGCGAAGGCGGCCCGCUGGGCAGUGGCUGACGCUGAAGCGCGACAGCGUGGGGAGCAAACAGG